rnacentral:rRNA from 1 species
ACAAGCGGAGGAACAUGUGGUUUAAUUCGAUGAUACGCGAGGAACCUUACCUGGGCUUAAAUGGGAGUGACAGCUGUCGAAAGAUGGUUUUCUUCGGACACUCUUCAAGGUGCUGCAUGGUUGUCGUCAGCUCGUGCCGUGAGGUGUCGGGUUAAGUCCCAUAACGAGCGCAACCCUUACCGUUAGUUACCAUCAGGUUAAGCUGGGGACUCUAGCGGGACUGCCACCGUAAGGUGAGAGGAAGGUGGGGAUGACGUCAAAUCAGCACGGCCCUUAUGUCCAGGGCUACACACGUGUUACAAUGGCCAGUACAAAGGGCAGCUACCGGGUGACCGGAUGCUAAUCUCUAAAGCUGGUCUCAGUUCGGAUCGAAGUCUGCAACCCGACUUCGUGAAGCUGGAUUCGCUAGUAAUCGCGCAUCAGCCAUGGCGCGGUGAAUACGUUCCCGGGCCUU